AUUGAACGCUGGCGGCAUGCCUUACACAUGCAAGUCGAACGGUAACGGGUCCUUCGGGAUGCCGACGAGUGGCGAACGGGUGAGUAAUAUAUCGGAACGUGCCCAGUAGUGGGGGAUAACUGCUCGAAAGAGCAGCUAAUACCGCAUACGACCUGAGGGUGAAAGGGGGGGAUCGCAAGACCUCUCGCUAUUGGAGCGGCCGAUAUCAGAUUAGCUAGUUGGUGGGGUAAAGGCCUACAAAGGCAACGAUCUGGAGUUGGUCUGAGAGGACGACCAGCCACACUGGGACUGAGACACGGCCCAGACUCCUACGGGAGGCAGCAGUGGGGAAUUUUGGACAAUGGGCGCAAGCCUGAUCCAGCAAUGCCGCGUGCAGGAAGAAGGCCUUCGGGUUGUAAACUGCUUUUGUCAGGGAAGAAAUCUUCUGGGCUAAUACCCCGGGAGGAUGACGGUACCUGAAGAAUAAGCACCGGCUAACUACGUGCCAGCAGCCGCCGCCG
rnacentral:rRNA from 1 species